ACACGUGGAUAACCUACCCUUGGGACUGGAAUAACCCCGGGAAACUGGGGAUAAUACCGGAUAGAUCAGGGAUGCUGGAAUGCACCUUGAUCCAAAGCUCCGGCGCCCAAGGAUGGGUCUGCGGCCUAUCAGGUAGUAGUGGGUGUAACGUACCUACUAGCCAACGACGGGUACGGGUUGUGAGAGCAAGAGCCCGGAGAUGGAUUCUGAGACACGAAUCCAGGCCCUACGGGGUGCAGCAGGCGCGAAACCUUUACAAUGUGCGAAAGCAUGAUAAGGGAACUCCGAGUGCCAGUAUCUAAUACUGGCUGUCCUUGUGCCUAAAACGCACAAGAUAGCAAGGGCCGGGUAAGACCGGUGCCAGCCGCCGCGGUAACACCGGCGGCCCGAGUGGUAGCCGCUAUUAUUGGGUCUAAAGGGUCCGUAGCCGGUUCGAUAAGUCCUCUGGGAAAUCUGGUUGCUUAACAAUCAGACUGCCAAGGGAUACUGUCGAACUUGAGACCGGGAGAGGUAAGAGGUACUUCAGGGGUAGGAGUGAAAUCUUGUAAUCCCUGGGGGACCAUCUGUGGCGAAGGCGUCUUACCAGAACGGGUCUGACGGUGAGGGACGAAAGCUGGGGGCGCAAACCGGAUUAGAUACCCGGGUAGUCCCAGCCGUAAACGAUGCUCGCUAUGUGUCAGGUACGGUGUGACCGUAUCUGGUGCCGUAGGGAAGCCGUGAAGCGAGCCACCUGGGAAGUACGGCCGCAAGGCUGAAACUUAAAGGAAUUGGCGGGGGAGCACUACAACGGGUGGAGCCUGCGGUUUAAUUGGAUUCAACGCCGGAAAUCUUACCGGGGGAGACAGCAGCAUGAAGGUCAGGCUGAAGACCUUACCAGAUCCGCUGAGAGGAAGUGCAUGGCCGUCGUCAGUUCGUACUGUGAAGCAUCCUGUUAAGUCAGGCAACGAGCGAGACCCGUGCCCACAGUUGCCAGCAUACCCUUCGGGGUGAUGGGUACUUUGUGGGGACCGCCGCUGCUAAAGCGGAGGAAGGAGCGGGUUACGGUAGGUCAGUAUGCUCCGAAACUCCCGGGCUACACGCGGGCUACAAUGGUUGGG
rnacentral:rRNA from 1 species